rnacentral:rRNA from 1 species
GGGUAAUCUGCCCGAAGGUGGGGGACAACUCUUCGAAAGGAGAGCUAAUACCGCAUAAUAUCCCGAGGACCUCGGUCCACGGGAUCAAAGUUUGCCUCUGUUUCAUGCAAACGCCAUCGGAGGAACCCGCGCCCCAUUAGCUUGAUGGUGAGGUAACGGCUCACCAUGGCUUCGAUGGGUAGCCGGCCUGAGAGGGUGAUCGGCCACACUGGAACUGAGACACGGUCCAG